AGCAGCCAGGCACGGGAUCAAGUUACCAAACCAGCGUUUUUGCGGAGGUCAGAAGAUGUGGGAGAAGAGAGCCGGACACUAACUUUUUUCUGAAAAAAAUCACGCGCUUAAAAAAAAAAAAAAAAAGGAAGAGACCCAGCUCACAGCAGGGCAGACUGAAGAAGUGGCAUCUCACGGACGGGACCCAGAGAUUGGAGGAACCAGUGUCAAAGACGACAGAGAAGUUUUGUGGGGGCGUUCCCAGCCCAAUUUCCCCAUAAUACUGGACCUGAUGGCAAAACAGGAGAGGUCCUGGAUGAAGAGCUUGACCAAGG